UCCCCGUUAUCCUGGGCAGUCCCCUUAGAGUGCCCAACUGAAUGAUGGCAACUAAGGGCGAGGGUUGCGCUCGUUGCGGGACUUAACCCAACACCUCACGGCACGAGCUGACGACAGCCAUGCAGCACCUAGUUUUGUGCCCUUGCGGGAAGAAUCCUUUCAGAUCCGGUCACUAACUUUCAAGCCCUGGUAAGGUUCCUCGCGUAUCAUCGAAUUAAACCACAUGCUCCUCCGCUUGUGCGGGCCCCCGUCAAUUCCUUUGAGUUUCACCGUUGCCGGCGUACUCCCCAGGUGGAUUACUUAUCGCUUUUGCUAAGCCACUGAAGGUUGCCCUCCAGCAGCGAGUAAUCAUCGUAUACAGUGCGGACUAC
rnacentral:misc_RNA from 1 species